rnacentral:rRNA from 1 species
CAAUAGCGUAUAUUAAAGUUGUUGCGGUUAAAAAGCUCGUAGUUGGAUUUCUGCUGAGAACGACCGGUCCGCCCUUUGGGUGUGUAUCUGGCUCUUUCUUGGCAUCUUCUUGGUGAACGUUGCUGCACUUGACUGUGUGGAGCGCUACCCAGGACUUUUACUUUGAGGAAAUUAGAGUGUUUCAAGCAGGCAUACGCCUUGAAUACAUUAGCAUGGAAUAAUAAGAUAGGACCUCGGUUCUAUUUUGUUGGUUUCUAGAGCUGAGGUAAUGAUUAAUAGGGAUAGUUGGGGGCAUUCGUAUUUAACUGUCAGAGGUGAAAUUCUUGGAUUUGUUAAAGACGAUCUACUGCGAAAGCAUUUGCCAAGGAUGUUUUCAUUAA